AUUGAACGCUGGCGGCAUGCCUUACACAUGCAAGUCGAACGGCAGCACGGGUACUUGCACCUGGUGGCGAGUGGCGAACGGGUGAGUAAUGCAUCGGAACGUACCCGGAAGUGGGGGAUAACGUAGCGAAAGUUACGCUAAUACCGCAUAUUCUGUGAGCAGGAAAGCGGGGGAUCUUCGGACCUCGUGCUUUCGGAGCGGCCGAUGUCGGAUUAGCGAGUUGGUGAGGUAAAGGCUCACCAAGGCGACGAUCCGUAGCGGGUCUGAGAGGAUGAUCCGCCACACUGGGACUGAGACACAGCCCAGACUCCUACGGGAGGCAGCAGUGGGGAAUUUUGGACAAUGGGGGCAACCCUGAUCCAGCCAUGCCGCGUGAGUGAAGAAGGCCUUCGGGUUGUAAAGCUCUUUUGUCAGGGAAGAAAUGGUCUGGGCUAAUACCCUGGGCAGAUGACGGUACCUGAAGAAUAAGCACCGGCUAACUACGUGCCAGCAGCCGCCGUAA
rnacentral:rRNA from 1 species